rfam:Oryza sativa (indica cultivar-group) chromosome 7, whole genome shotgun sequence.
AAAAGACUCAAUUCUAGAUUUCCGUGUCCAACGAUUGACCGUUCGUCUUAUGUGAAAUUUUUUUAUGAUUAGUAUUUUUAUUAUUCUUAGAUGAUAAAACAUGAACAAUACUUUAUGCAUGAGUUAUCUUUUUAAUUUUUUUCAUAUUUUUUUCAAAUAAGACGGACGGUCAAACGUUAGACACGAAAACCCAGGAAUUGAGUUUUU